UUGGUUAAGUUAGAAAGGGCGCACGGUGGAUGCCUUGGCACUAGGAGCCGAAGAAGGACGGGACUAACACCGAUAUGCUUUGGGGAGCUGUACGUAAGCGUUGAUCCAGAGAUUUCCGAAUGGGGGAACCCACUAUCUUUAGUCGGAUAGUAUCCUUACGUGAAUACAUAGCGUGAGGAAGGCAGACCCAGGGAACUGAAACAUCUAAGUACCUGGAGGAAGAGAAAGAAAAAUCGAUUUCCUGAGUAGCGGCGAGCGAAACGGAAAGAGCCCAAACCAAGAAGCUUGCUUCUUGGGGUUGUAGGACACUCUAUACGGAGUUACAAAAGAAAGUUAUAAAUGAAGCGGUCUGGAAAGGCCCGCCAAAGACGGUAACAGCCCGGUAGUUGAAAUGGCUUUCCCUCCAGAGUGGAUCCUGAGUACGGCGGAACACGUGAAAUUCCGUCGGAAUCCGGGAGGACCAUCUCCCAAGGCUAAAUACUCCCUAGUGACCGAUAGUGAACCAGUACCGUGAGGGAAAGGUGAAAAGCACCCCGGAAGGGGAGUGAAACAGUUCCUGAAACCGUGUGCCUACAAGUAGUUAGAGCCCGUUAAUGGGUGAUAGCGUGCCUUUUGUAGAAUGAACCGGCGAGUUACGAUUUGUUGCAAGGUUAAGCGGAAAAAGCGGAGCCGUAGCGAAAGCGAGUCUGAAUAGGGCGCAUAAGUAACAGGUCGUAGACCCGAAACCAGGUGAUCUACCCAUGUCCAGGAUGAAGGUAAGGUAAUACUUACUGGAGGUCCGAACCCACGCACGUUGAAAAGUGCGGGGAUGAGGUGUGGGUAGCGGAGAAAUUCCAAUCGAACUUGGAGAUAGCUGGUUCUCUCCGAAAUAGCUUUAGGGCUAGCCUCGAGGUAAAGAGUCAUGGAGGUAGAGCACUGUUUGGACUAGGGGCCCUUCUCGGGUUACCGAAUUCAGAUAAACUCCGAAUGCCAUGUACUUAUACUCGGGAGUCAGACUGCGAGUGAUAAGAUCCGUAGUCGAAAGGGAAACAGCCCAGACCACCAGUUAAGGUCCCCAAAUAUAUGUUAAGUGGAAAAGGAUGUGGGGUUGCUUAGACAACCAGGAUGUUGGCUUAGAAGCAGCCACCAUUGAAAGAGUGCGUAAUAGCUCACUGGUCGAGUGACCCCGCGCCGAAAAUGUACCGGGGCUAAACAUAUUACCGAAACUGUGGAUGAACCUCUUUAGAGGUUCGUGGUAGGAGAGCGUUCUAAGGGCGGUGAAGUCAGACCGGAAGGACUGGUGGAGCGCUUAGAAGUGAGAAUGCCGGUAUGAGUAGCGAAAGAAGGGUGAGAAUCCCUUCCACCGAAUAUCUAAGGUUUCCUGAGGAAGGCUCGUCCGCUCAGGGUUAGUCGGGACCUAAGCCGAGGCCGAUAGGCGUAGGCGAUGGACAACAGGUAGAGAUUCCUGUACCAGUGCUAAUUGUUUAACCGAUGGGGUGACACAGAAGGAUAGGGAAUCGCACGAAUGGAAAUGUGCGUCCAAGCAGUGAGUGUGAGAAGUAGGCAAAUCCGCUUCUCGCGAAGCAUGAGCUGUGAUGGGGAAGGAAAUUAAGUACGGAAGUUCCUGAUUUCACGCUGUCAAGAAAAGCCUCUAGGAAGAGUAGUACUGCCCGUACCGCAAACCGACACAGGUAGAUGAGGAGAGAAUCCUAAGGUGAGCGAGAGAACUCUCGUUAAGGAACUCGGCAAAAUGACCCCGUAACUUCGGGAGAAGGGGUGCUCUAUUAGGGUGCAAGCCCGAGAGAGCCGCAGUGAAUAGGCCCAGGCGACUGUUUAGCAAAAACACAGGUCUCUGCAAAACCGUAAGGUGACGUAUAGGGGCUGACGCCUGCCCGGUGCUGGAAGGUUAAGAGGAGUGCUUAGCUUCGGCGAAGGUACGAAUUGAAGCCCCAGUAAACGGCGGCCGUAACUAUAACGGUCCUAAGGUAGCGAAAUUCCUUGUCGGGUAAGUUCCGACCCGCACGAAAGGCGCAACGAUCUGGGCACUGUCUCAACGAGAGACUCGGUGAAAUUAUAGUACCUGUGAAGAUGCAGGUUACCCGCGACAGGACGGAAAGACCCCGUGGAGCUUUACUGCAACCUGAUAUGGAAUGUUUGUACCGCUUGUACAGGAUAGGUAGGAGCCGAAGAGACGUGUGCGCUAGCAUACGAGGAGGCAAUGGUGGGAUACUACCCUGGCUGUAUGACCAUUCUAACCCGCCACGCUUAGCGCGUGGGGAGACAGUGUCAGGUGGGCAGUUUGACUGGGGCGGUCGCC
rnacentral:rRNA from 1 species